rnacentral:rRNA from 1 species
CGUACGCAACCUCCUUAACUGAGAAUAGCCCUCGAAAGAGGGAUUAAUACUCCGUAACAUCCCGAUGUGGCAUCACAACGGGAUUAUAGCUUCGGCGGUUAGAGAUGGGCGUGCGCCUGAUUAGAUAGUUGGCGGGGUAACGGCCCACCAAGUCUGCGAUCAGUAACUGGUGUGAGAGCACGACCAGUCACACGGGCACUGAGACACGGGCCCG